rnacentral:snoRNA from 1 species
UGGUAAUGAUGAUAUCAUUGGUCCGUGUUUCUGAAAUGUAUGUCAGACAACCUUAACCAUAUCUGAAUCA